rnacentral:misc_RNA from 1 species
AACUAUAUUUCUCCUGAAUUCCUUGAGGAACAGGUGGAGGCUAAUCCCAUUGAUCAGUUCCGCAAAUGGUUUGAUGAUGCUGUGGCUGGUGGACUGACAAAUGCUAUGUGCUUGUCAACUGUUGGACAGGAUGGAAAACCCUCAUCUAGAAUGGUAUUGUUGAAAGGAAUUGAUAAAGAUGGGUUUGUCUGGUGCACCAAUUAUGAAAGUAGAAAGGCACAUCAAUUAUCUGAAAAUCCUGGAGCAUCACUUCUUUUCUACUGGGAUGGUCUUAAUCGGCANGGUAAGGGUGGAAGGAUUUGUGCAGAAAGUCUCAGAUGAGGAAUCUGAACAAUACUUCCAUAGCCGCCCUCGAGGAAGUCAGAUUGGAGCAAUAGUCAGCAAGCAGAGUACUAUAGUUCCUGGAAGGCAUGUUCUAUACCAACAAUUCAAAGAAUUAGAGGAAAAGUUCUCUGACAUAAAUUUGAUCCCAAAACCUAAACACUGGGGAGGAUACAGGCUUAAACCAGAGCUUUUCGAGUUUUGGCAAGGACAACAGUCUCGCUUGCAUGACAGGUUGCAAUAUGUUCCUCAAGAGAUCCGUGGGAAACAAGCAUGGAAAAUUGUGCGGUUGGCUCCCUGACUAGUAU